rnacentral:rRNA from 1 species
UCGGGAAUUUUGGGCAAUGGGCGAAAGCCUGACCCAGCAACGCCGCGUGAGGGAUGAAGUAUUUCGGUAUGUAAACCUCGAAAGAAUGGGAAGACUAAAUGACGGUACCAUUUAUAAGCUCCGGCUAACUACGUGCCAGCAGCCGCGGUAAUACGUAGGGAGCAAGCGUUGUUCGGAUUUACUGGGCGUAAAGGGCGCGUAGGCGGCGCGGUAAGUCACUUGUGAAAUCUCUGAGCUUAACUCAGAACGGCCAAGUGAUACUGCUGUGCUAGAGUGCGGAAGAGGCAACCGGAAUUCUUGGUGUAGCGGUGAAAUGCGUAGAUAUCAAGAGGAACACCUGAGGCGAAGGCGGGUUGCUGGGCCGACACUGACGCUGAUGCGCGAAAGCCAGGGGAGCAAACG